rnacentral:rRNA from 1 species
GACGAACGCUGGCGGCGUGCUUAACACAUGCAAGUCGAACGGGAUAAUUUGAGAGCUUGCUCUUAGAGAAUCUAGUGGCAAACGGGUGAGUAACACGUAGACAACCUGCCGACAGGAUGGGGACAACAUUCCGAAAGGAAUGCUAAUACCGAAUGAAGCGGAGGAGAGGCAUCUCUCCUCCGUGAAAGAUGGCCUCUGAAUAUGCUAUCACCUGUCGAUGGGUCUGCGUCUGAUUAGCUAGUUGGUGAGGUAACGGCUCACCAAGGCGACGAUCAGUAGCCGGUCUGAGAGGAUGAACGGCCACAUUGGGACUGAGACACGGCCCAGACUCCUACGGGAGGCAGCAGUGGGGAAUCUUCCGCAAUGGGCGCAAGCCUGACGGAGCAACGCCGCGUGAGUGAAGAAGGUCUUCGGAUCGUAAAGCUCUGUUGACGGGGACGAACGUGCGAAGGGUGAAUAAUCCUUUGUAAUGACGGUACCUGUCGAGGAAGCCACGGCUAACUACGU